rnacentral:rRNA from 1 species
AGCGAACGCUGGCGGCAGGCCUAACACAUGCAAGUCGAACGAAGUCUUCGGACUUAGUGGCGGACGGGUGAGUAACACGUGGGAACGUGCCCUUUGGUACGGAAUAACUCAGGGAAACUUGAGCUAAUACCGUAUGUGCCCUUCGGGGGAAAGAUUUAUCGCCAUUGGAGCGGCCCGCGUCUGAUUAGCUAGUUGGGGAGGUAAAGGCUCACCAAGGCGACGAUCAGUAGCUGGUCUGAGAGGAUGAUCAGCCACAUUGGGACUGAGACACGGCCCAAACUCCGACGGGAGGCAGCAGUGGGGAAUCUUGCGCAAUGGGCGAAAGCCUGACGCAGCCAUGCCGCGUGAAUGAUGAAGGUCUUAGGAUUGUAAAAUUCUUUCACCGGGGACGAUAAUGACGGUACCCGGACAAGAAGCCCCGGCUAACUUCGUGCCAGCCGCCGCAGUAAAAC